CUCUGGGCGCUUCGGCGGCCCGUGGCAGAACCAGAGUCUCCCAGAAGCCUCUAGGAGUCGGCGAUGUACGAGAUCGAAGCUGAGCCUGCAUUGGAAACCCCAGGAAAGAUCGGGAACCUAGACUGUCUACCCAAGAAUUCCGCAGGCAGCAACAGCUGUAUUAUGAGGAAGCUGAAUAGCUCCUUUGCAGCCACCCUCUGUCAGAAACUAGUUGAAGUGGAUGCUGAGUGCAAGCUCCACACCUUCUGUGAGAAGCUAUGACCACAGGAGCAGCUGCCGAUACUCUGGGUGACUGUGGAAGGCUUAUGUGAUACGAAUCAAUUGUAGGAAUGCCAGACAAGGUUCUCCCAGGAAGUAAGGAAGGGGAGUUGACCCACAGCAGAGUGUACCUGCUGUUAAGUAAGGAGCAUUCUUGCUAUCUACACCAAGGAGGACUGUUGAGAAGUGCGGGUCUUUUUAGGGAUGCCUUGUGGAGUCCAAUCUGUGUAUUCUCAACUUGGUUAUUGUAAAGAAGAAAAGAGUUUGGGGUGGCUCUUCCUGGACUGGCAGAUACUAGGAUGCUUCGGAGGUGGGGGCCCAAAAGGACUAGCAGAAUCCCAAAACUUUCUGAUCUCUACAGAAGAUGAUGUCUGUCAAUAUGCUGUCAGAAAGCCCUUAAACAAAGAAGAUAAGAAACCCAGGACCAAAGUCCCUAAGACUCGGUGUCUUGUUACUCCACAUGUCCCAACUUCUUGCUCUGAAGAUACAACACACUAAGAAAAUUUACCAUCCGCUUCUCAGAGAAGCUCUAGAAGGCUAAUUCAUCUGUGAAAUUUGUCCUGACGGCAGCUGAAAUGCAGGAAGAGUGCCAAAGCAGCUCAAUGUGUUUAUUCUUCCAUCUGGAAAGACAAGGACACAGAGCGUGGUACUUGGAGUGGGGGGAGAACUCAAAAAGCUUUGCGUAUUUUAUUUAUCCAUUGCAAGACAAUAAAGACAGCAUCUCAAUAACCAGUGCUGUGACACUUGGGGUCCCAUUAUGUCUUUGUAACAAAAGAGAGUGGGGUUGAUAAAGUGAUUAGGAAACAGGAGAGGAAGUAAUGGUGGGUGGAGUUUAUGUCAGCAGAGAACUCUGGGAGAAACCCCACCACGGGGAGUUUUACUGUGGUUUUUAGGCAGGAUAAAGAGAGUCUAAGUUUUCCUGCCUCUCCUGAUCUUCAGUUGCUUUCAACACUGCUCGUGACAAAGAGGCAUAUUUUAGACCAGCAUAUUCUGGAUCCCUUCAAUAAUAGAGGCCAGUAUUUUCUGGUUAUCUUCACUGGUACCCUAGUCUUGUAUCCUUGACUGGGAUAAACAUUUCCCAGCUUUCUGUGCCUCUGAGCUGCACAUCGCACAUUAUAUAUAGUAAAGACCGAGUGGGCCUGCUUAGGAGAGUGUCAAGCUCUAUUAAGCAUGAAAAGAUCAGCAUCAUUAGUAACUAGAGAUAUCCAGAUUAAAAGAACAACAGACCCAUUAGAAUGCUUUGCAUUCAGAGGAAAAUGAGAAAGGUAAUACCAGGUGUUAAUGAGAAUUUUAAGCAACUGGCUUUUUUUUUCCUUUAAGGAGGUUUUUUAAGAUUGGAAGAAAUAAUUUACUUAGGGGUAUGCAUGGUUUAAACACACUAGUGAUUAACUCUGAGUCACCAAAACCGCAUCAGUCUCACAUUAAGGAAAGAAAGAAAAGCACUUUCCCCUGGAGUCAUCUAACCAAGAGCGAGUCCAGGUCUGAAUUCUCUACUUUCUACCCCUGUGUCUUCUGUCCUCUGUUUAUAUGUUGGGUGAGUCUGUGCCUGCCGAGAGGCUGUCUUUGAAUCUGUCCCUGUGUCUGUGACUGUGUGCUCUCUGUGUGUCUGUCCAUGCCUACCCAUGUGUAUCCCUGUGUCUGCCUUUGUCUGCCUCUGUUUGCCUUUAAUAAAGGCUUUGCUCUGUCACUCAGUAGUACAGUACUAUACUAUACUAUACUGUAGUACUGGGCUAUUGAUCAGUAUGGGAAUCAUCACAUGGGGAAGGGGUGGGAGACUUUACAGACAUCUUUAACUAGGAAUUAAGUCACUGGGCCCCAACCAAUCCCAACUGACCCAGACAACCAACAGUACUGUAAAUGUCACUGUUUAUUAACCAAUAUCCAAAUAUUACAUUCAACAUUUACAGUGGGUAUAAAUUUUAGAAGGUUGCUUUCAGCAUCUGUAUUUGCUGCUUUUGUCAAAUGAUACACAUGCAUAGUUCUGCAUGAGGAAUCUAUAACUUAAGAUUACAGCUAUAUAUCAGCUUAGGUUGCAAAGUUGAUUACAUGAGAAAUAUCAGGCAAGCAAGGCUGUUACAAGCAAGGCUGUCCUUUAGAAGCAGGUUAAGCACACAGGCUGCAGACACAAUAAGCUAGCAGUCCUGCAUCUUCAGUGAGCCCAAGUUGUAUUAGUAACUCUGGCUCUGAGGUCCAGCAAAAGCACCACUCUAGGCUCUUAGACUAUAAGAGAUAUUUUCACAAUAUUUAAUGUCCCCAGGGGUGCAUGGGCUCAUGUAUGUAUGAACAUGUGCAGGCAGAUACCCAUGGAAGCGGUGAGGACAUCACACUCAUGAGAACUGGAGUUCCGGAUGGUGGCAAGCCUUGGGGUGUGGGGAACAGAACUUCGGGCCUCUUCCAGAGCAGUAGGUACUCUUUGCUGCUGAGCCAUCUCUCCAGCUCUGCACUUGGAACAUCUGUACACUGCUGGUUAGGGUGUAAAAUGGUACCCUAACUUUGGGAAACAGCCUGGAAGCUUCUUCAGAUAAAAUUAAGUGUGUAUUACCUUAGCCACUUGGAGCUGCUAUAGUAGAAUACCAUAGAAUUAAUAGCUUAAAGAACAGGCAUCCCUUACAAUUUUAGAAGCUAGAAUUCAGUUACCAGCACAGUUGCUUUCUGGUGAGGGCUUCAUUACUGGCUUUCAAGAUGGCCCCCUUCUUCCUAUUCCAUUAUUUUCAAUCUACAAUAAUGUUUCUUUACCUUC